rnacentral:RNase_P_RNA from 1 species
GACAGAGGGAGCUCGACUCCCGUGCCGCGGGCGGCGUCGCCGUCCAACGCAUGAGGAAAGUCCCCCCACCGGCCGGACGGGCGACCGGGCGCAAGCCCGGAGCCGGAGACGGCUGGCGCUGGAACAGAAACGAGACCCCCUGCCCCGACCGAUGAGGCGUGCGAACCGACCCGCAAGGAGAGGGAGCUAACCCGCCGAGGGGCAUGCGACGUCUCACGUCGCAGACGGGCAGGAAGGGAUGGAACGGCGAAUCCUCGCCGGUGCAAGUCCGCGCCGAUAGGUAGUCCGGCCACGGCGCGGACGCUCAGCCGAAUGUCGAGCCGAACGGAAGGGGGCUUACUCCCCUCAGUC